GUCCACUGCAUCCGGAAAGUAUCCACAGCGCUUCACUUUUUCCACAUUUUGUUAUGUUACAGCCUUAUUCCAAAAUGGAUUCAAUUCAUUAUUUUCCUCAACAUUCGACACACAACAACCCAUAAUGACAAAGUGAAAACUAUUUUUUGCAAAUUUGUGCAAAUCUGUUAAACAUAAACAACGAAAACAUAUACAUAAGUAUUCACAGCCUUUCCUCAAUACUUUGUUGAAGCACCUUUGGCAGCAAUUACAGCCUCAAGUGUGACACACCUAUUUCUGGGCAGUUUCUCCCAUUCUUCUUUGCAGAACCUCUCAAGUUCCAUCAGGUUGGAUGGGAGCGUCGGUGCACAGCCAUUUUCAGAUCUCUCCAGAGAUGUUCAAUCGGGUUCACGUCAGGGCUCUGGCUGGGCCACUCAAGGACAUUCACAGAGUUGUCCCGAAGCCACUCCUUUGUUAUCUUCGCUAUGUGCUUCGGGUUGUUGUCCUGUUGGAAGAUGAACCGUCCCAGUCUGAGGUCCAGAGCGCUUUGGAGCAUGUUUUCAUCGAGGAUGUCUCUGUACAUUGCUGCAUUCAUCUUUCCCUGAAUCCUGACGAGUCUCCCACCUCCUCCCGCUGAAAAACAUCCCCACAGCAUGAUGCUGCCACCACCAUGCUUCACUGUAGGGAUGGUAUUGGCCAGGUGAUGAGCAGUGCCUGGUUUCCUCCAAAGAGUUCAAUCUUUGUUUCAUCAGACCAGAGAAUUUUGUUUCUCAUGGUCUGAGAGUCCUUCAGGUGGGCUGUCAUGUGCUUUUUACUGAGGAGUGGCUUCCGUCUGGCCACUCUAGCAAACAGGCCUGAUUUGUGGAGUGCUGCAGAGAUGGUUGUCCUUCUGGAAGGUUCUCCUCUCUUCAUAGAACAACGCUGGAGCUCUGUCAGAGUGACCAUCGGGUUCCUGGUCACCUCCCUGACUAAGGCCCUUCUCCCCCGAUCGCUCAGUCUGACUGGGCGGCCAACUCUAGGAAGAGUCCUGGUG
ensembl:lncRNA